AAACGAGACCGGGUGGUCGCGCAGGACGUGUGCCUGCGAGGAAAGUCGGGACUCCACAGGGCAGGGUGCUGGGUAAUACCCAGUGGGGGCGACCCCAAGGAAAGUGCCACAGAGAUGCAGGCGACCGACUGCGGCUUUGCCGCAGUACGGUAACGGUGAAACGGUGCGGUAAGAGCGCACCAGCAGCCAGGCGACUGGCUGGCUUGGCAAACCCCACCUGGAGCAAGACCAAAUAGGAGGGAGAUAGAGUGGCCCGCUCUUCCCUCGGGUUGGUCGCUGGAGGUGCCGGGCAACCGGCAUCCUAGAUGGAUGACCACCACGACAGAAUCCCGCUUACAGGUCUGGUUUCGCU
rnacentral:RNase_P_RNA from 1 species